CCUACGGGUGGCAGCAGUGGGGAAUAUUGGGCAAUGGGCGCAAGCCUGACCCAGCAAUGCCGCGUGAAGGAUGAAGGCCCUCGGGUUGUAAACCUCUUUUAUCAGGGACGAAGGAUGUGAGGGUACCUGAGGAGUAAGCUCAGGCUAACUACGAGCAAGGAGCCGCGGUAAUACGUAGGGCGCAAGCGUUAACCGGAUAUACGGGGUGUAAUGGGCGCGUAGGCGGGAUGGCAAGUUAGAUGUGAAAUCCCGGGGCUCAACCACUGAACUGCAUUUGAAACUGGCGUUCUUGAGUAUGUGAGAGGAUGACGGAAUUCCUGGUGUAGCGGUGAAAUGCGUAGAUAUCAGGAGGAACACCAGUGGCGAAGGCGGUCAACUGGACAACAACUGACGCUGAGGCGCGAAAGCGUGGGGAGCAAACAGGAUUAGAUACCCUUGUAGUC
rnacentral:rRNA from 1 species